GGCAGUAUGUCUCAGUGGUAAAGUACUUGCUUGGCAUGUGUGAACCCCUGGGUUCAAUCCCUAGUAUUACCA
rnacentral:tRNA from 1 species